rnacentral:rRNA from 1 species
UACGAAGGGGGCUAGCGUUGCUCGGAAUCACUGGGCGUAAAGCGCACGUAGGCGGAUCUUUAAGUCAGGGGUGAAAUCCUGGAGCUCAACUCCAGAACUGCCUUUGAUACUGAGGAUCUUGAGUCCGGGAGAGGUGAGUGGAACUCCGAGUGUAGAGGUGAAAUGCGUAGAUAUCGGGAGGAACACCUGUGGCGAAAGCGGCUCACUGGACCACAACUGACGCUGAUGCGCGAAAGCUAGGGAGCAAACAGGAU